rnacentral:lncRNA from 1 species
GCAGGGCCUAUCGCAAUGUGUACAUGUAGCACACAGCUACGCUUUAUACGAUAGCUUUGAGUCUUUAAGACAACUGCCUUUAGCUACUCCUUUCCUCAAGCGUAGCUGCUGGUGAUGCAACUCGGAAGUUAGCAGGAUUCGGGGACGCUUUGUGGUUGAUCUUCUUGCUAGCCCAAUCAAGUCAAUGUAAGCUCGCUAUUUUUCUUGUCAUUCUCGACCAAUUUGGCAACCGCGCGCAUUACCUAGCGCAUCUCUUAAUUUACUUCAUUUAUCAUGAUGCGUAGUUCAUAUGUAAAGCUUUUUUCCAAAACCGGGUUUUGUUAGCUGUUAUCCCACAUUUGGUAUGGCUUACCUACAAUAUAUAGCAUAAUUAGGAGUAAGCAGCGGUACUAGCCAUGUGAGUAUAUAUAUAACCACCUAGAUAGUAUAUGCAUAUGACUUUAUGACUUUUUUGGUUGCUGGUGUCUGGAGUUUCCCUUUUCACAUACUCCCUUCGUCCGGAAAUACUUGUCAUGGGAAUGGAUGUAUCUAGAUGUAUUUUAGUUCUAAAUACAUCCAUUUUUAUUCACUUGUGUGACAAGUAAUUUCGGACGGAGAUUGUAUUAAUUUUCCAUAUAUUGGAAGAACAUGUCAAAAUUACUCUUUUUAUACAUAGUUUGCCUUCCGCAUCUUGUAAAUGGUAUGUUAAUAAUAUUUUCAUAUUUAUACUCAUAAGUAGUUUCAUAAAAGGAAUUAUACGUACUAUCUAAAAUGUCAUAUAUAUACUAAAUAAUCUUGUAUAUAUACACUACAUGAUACAACUAAAUACACUCAUGUAUGUAAUAUACUAUCUAGUUUGAGUAAACACAUGAGGGGUGUAGCGAUAACAUAUGAAGUGUACACACACUAAUAUGGGAAGUACACUCUUAUGUAAAAAAUACUUCAAACGCUAUCAACUUGUUAUAUAGAUCGAGAUGAGGACUUCAAUCUAUGAAAUUAAUCUCAAGCCAACAAAUGUCAAAGGUUAUUUUAUUUUGAAAUUUUGUUUUUAGAAGGCAGGAAGCAAAAGCAUCCCUGGUACCUCCCCGCCUCUUUAUGUCUUCCCUUGUAUCUCCUAUCACGCCCGCAUAGUGAUAGGGGAGAGAGUUGGCCAUUUCCUAACAUUUGUGCAGGGAAACCCUUUUCUAACGCCUGAAGGCUCUCUCCCUCUCCCUCCCCCCGCCCCCCCCCCCUCUCUCUCUCUUUCAUAUUAACUCUACAACAUUGAAUAAUACAAUACGAGCAUCUCUCAUAGGUCCCCUAGAAACAUACCUGCAUGGUUUUGUCCGUGUGUUGGGGUGGGGGGGGGGGGCUGAGGGAAAACAAAUCUCUAGUAGGGUCCUUACAAUGUCCCCACAAAUGGGAGGCACCCAAAAAUGUCCCAGCCCAACUGAUACAGGCACCCUACGCUAGUGCAGCUCAUGUUUCGCGCUAGCAUAUAGAACUUUGACCAUGCGCCAAUAACUCACCUUCAUCUCACAUUCACUAAUACAAAACUGGGUGAUCGAUGACGGUAGCAUGCCAUCAUAGAUAAAUACAAAACCAACAUAGAAGUGCAUCCAUGAUAGGUCUGAAACACAUCAUGCAUGUUGCGUCAUUGAUUAAACCAUGAGACGGUUUUUUGAAACUGUGACAGACUUGAAAGUGACGUUCUUGACUAUCACUCCCGUCCCAUACAUGUCUAUCCCAGAUUACACCCAUGCAUUUAUGACGGUCGAACGUCAUAGGUUAAAAUUGCAUGGCAAACAAUGUGGAUAUGACAUGGCGACUCGUAUAGGAAUCAAGCAAAUUAAGGCGUUUCUCCACUCAUGUUGUUCGGUAUGUCUCUAGAACACCAAUUUCAGUCCAGACCAUUAGCACAUUUCGUUAUAUUUAUGACCAUAUUUUGGCCCCAACAAGUUUUUUAGAAUAUACCUUCUCAUGUCAUUAAAGAGAAGAAAAUUCACACAAACACAUCCAAGAAAAUUGCAUGUUUAUAGAAACACACCCAAAAAAAGUAUAUACACCACAUAAAGCAUUAAGACAAGACACAUGCCUAGGAGCGAAACGAAAAAAGUACAAUAAAAACUAAAAGUGGAAAAAAAGUCGCCAUAGGUCUAUAUACCCCUCUACAAUAGUAGUGACCAUAAGCAUCCACAAUCGCCUCUAGCUCACGGAAGGUCCCCUAUGGACCAUUUCUCCAUGGUUGAGGCCAUGACUUUGGUGGUCUUGAUGGUGGCAUUGUUUGCCAUUUCGCAUGUGUCCGCAUUAGCGGACGACCACAAAUGUCUCCCAUGUACGCUAGCAGGGAUGCUAUCUCCAUGAUAGAACUACCGAGCUCUCAAAUUCGCGACUUGUGCGCUGACAUUGAUGGUCCUCACAAUUCUGUGACGGCUAUUAAGUUUCAACCACAUGAACAAUUAUUUGUCAUUUUAACGUAUUUAGACUACAACUUUCUUUAACCUCUAUAUGCGCAAAUAUAAACCGAAGUUCCAUCAAUUUAAUAAUUGUAAUUUUUUUGAAAUAAUAAGUCAAGACACCCUCUAGUACCUUAAAAAAAUAUUUACCUAAAUGCUUGAUUUUUAAUACAUGGAAAAUACUACAUCAUAUUUUAAAUUUCAAUGUUAGGGGUUUAUUAUGAAUUCAUUCACUAUUAUUUCGAUAUUAAAUUCAAAUAUUUCUCUUUAUAGGAUCUAAUUCAAUUUUUCACCACAUUUAUCACAGUAAGGCCUAUAAAUGAAAAUAAUUUCAAUAUUUCGUUAAUCCAAUACAAUUUUAGCUCUUCUCUAGAAAAUAUAUGGAAAGUUCAAAUGGAUGUUAGGAUUAUUUGAAUUAUGUUUAGAAUAUCAAAUUGCACUCAUUUGUUAACAUUAUAUUUAAUCAUAGAAAUAAAAUACAUGAAAAUGACAUGAAUAAAUAGAUGGAAUAUUGUGAAAAGGUCCAUAUAUUAGUCUACAUUAUGUGAGUUCAAAAAAUAUGAACUAGAUAUGAUUUUAUCAAGACUAAUUUAGUUUUAUUAUUAUUUAAAGAAGAAAAUAAAGGGAAGGGGAAAUUUUUGUUGGCCUUGGAUGACAUAUUAUGCCAUGAACCAAUCACUACCAUUAAUUUGACAAGUUUUAAUCUACGAAAAUAAUCCUCCAUUCAUCAUUGAACGUGUCACUUAAGGAGCAUGCUGAGUCCAAUUUUGAUCCGUUAUGAAAAUAACAUAAUUUAGUCCAGUUAAUGAAAAUUGUAAGAAUGUCACCAGAAAUUCAGCAUAAGUCAACGAAUUCCUUGUAGUGGGAGCGACACCAUUUCCUAUGGCCUCCUUCGUUCCGAUGAGCUAUCUGGUGAUGGCUCCGCCCCACCCGCCACCGCGAAGCCACACGGGUUCUUCCCAUGCACCAUCCACCUUUGUCACAACGAUGGAGAUGACCUUGCCACAACCAUCAUCCCCUUAAGCCUCUCUGGUCUCCUCCACCACUCCACCGUGGUCGCACCCUAAAGACGCGAUGGGGACGACCUUGCCACAAUCGUCAUCCCCUGAAGCGUCUCUGGUCUCCUCGCCAUCGCCCAAGUGCCGCAGGGCAAUGCCCGGGCGGAGAAUGAUGGUUGUGGCGAGGAAAUCAGAUGCGCCAACUGCUAGGGUGGGGAGCAAGAAGUCUAAAUACAACUAUCCAUUCCUCAGCAGAAACUAGGCGCUUCUCCAUACACGUGAUUUUGUAUGCACAUGUUUGAAAGUAUGUUUAUGCUUCUAAUUUCAUGCACGAUUCUUGACGGCUUAUCAAUAUUCCUACACAAUUCUUGGUUGAAAGUGGACAGCUAGCUGGCUAGCUACUGCAGCACGAAAGAUCAAAAUCGUAUGUACGUUGACUUGACAGUGUACAUGAUAAGGUCUCGAAACAGGCUUUCGUCUUGCUGUAUUUAUAAAGCUCCAACCAAACAUAGUGCACGGCCGAACGGUACAAAGGGAUGGUGUAGCCCUCACACAAUACCGAUCCCAGGGUACCCGAAUUACGCAACACGCACGCGGCUAUGCUACCAAAAUAGAUUACAGGAAGAAUCAAGAACAACACUACUCUAAGCCCUAUCGCAUCUAAGUUCCACGACAACGCCCUCAAGAGGAAGAACUGUGCUAAGCGUCGCCGUUGUUGAGUCCCAAAGAGACAUAGGUUUCAACCCGGAAUCCGGACACGGAGAGGAGCACCACGACGACGUCUUCAUAAAGAUAACGGUCCGCGAGCGUCGCCAUCUUGGGUAACAAAGUGCAGAGUUUUCACUCGGCAACUCCCAUGCGUCCCUAAGGAGGUCUCUAGGGAAGCUUGACGAGCCCAGAACUCCAGAUCUGGAUCGGGGCAACGCCAUCGUCGAAGACAUAGAGUGCGCCCGAGCCACUCGCUCCACCACCUCUUGCAGCCCAAACGACCAAGAGAGAAUGCCAUCACCUCCGCCAUGGUGCCUACUAGACAUCUCACCACGUGCACCGCCAUCCGGGGCCGUCACCCCGGCAUCCAUGUCCAAGGAUCCCCUAACUGCCCACGUCAUAGUGAAACUACCAUGGUAGGAAGAGUAAAAGGGGUCUUCUUUCACUCCUAGCCUGACAUCAGCCACGGAGUAUGGGUCAAGGCCUCCACAGUAGGAGGCACACAUGCCUGAAUCUCCAGCUAGUCUUGGUGGACCGGGAAAGACACUACGCCGUGACUGAGCACACUCACACAUUGCCAUGUCCAUGGCCCAUAUCGAUCCGCCCAACAGUGUAGCAGAUCCACAACCACCACCAACUCGCACCGUACCCGGAAGGAGAGGGACCGCCAGCACGGGCACCACCCGGAUCAAGCCCAAGCACACGAACCCGGAGCAUGAACUCCGACUCACCAGGGCUCCGACAAGAUCCGCCGACCACGAGCCGCGGCUCGCCGCACACCGCCGGCCUAAAGCUAGGGGAAAGCACCACCCGGCGUCGUCGGCAAGGGUACGACACCCAGCCUUGCGCCGCCACCCCACAUACCCGCACCACCCGCGCCCUGGACGAGGUCAACCCAGUCGCCGACGCUGGUAAUUACCCUCACCAUGGCACGCCCCCCUCUCCAGCCACCUCCAGCACCAAGGGCCAUCGGAGACAGCCAAACCUCGUUGCCUAGGCCCGCGCCGUCCGCAUGCAGCCGGUCGGAGGAGCUGCCUGCCAGAUCUGUAUUGGGCAGUCCGAACCCGACGGAGCCCACAUCGCAGAUACGCACUGCCGCGCUCCCAGUAGCCCACCACACACUUCCACUAGCCUCCACCGUCGCCAUGCGCCGUGCCCUGCCCAGUGUUCCACAUACACAUGAGGAGGCCGCCCCCGUGCCAGCCCUUUGCGGGCGAGUCGAUGAGGGGUGGGGGAUGACGGCUGGCGGAAGUAGGUUUGCCGCCCUCCCCCCUUCAUGGGAGCCGGUCAGGCGAGGAAGGGGGAACACUUUACCGCAGGUAAGCCACACACUCGAUAAGUUGUUGUGUGGUAACCCAAAGGUAGCAGUGUCAUGCUCCGGAGUGCAGAUGGUCACUUUGUUUAGAGUUGGGAGGUGUCAUGCCGACAGUUUGAGAUGCCCUAGCACAAUAUUAUACAAUUAGGCUGAUCUUGCAGUAUUUAACUGUUCGUUGGCUCAUAGGUUGAAUCAUGUGGUUUCUUUAAUGAAAAUCGGACCGGGAGGCCCUUCUUCUAUACCUAUAUAUAUAUAUANCUAACGACUCAGACACAAACAAAAAACUAAAGACAUACUCUUUUUUUUGUUUUUUUUGUAAGGGCCAGAUGACCAUAAAAAUCUACACGUUGCAUCGUCGGCGGCAGCGUCAGAUGUGUAUAAGAGACAGGCGCAAGGAAGCCGGCCUCGCCGCUCCCAUGGCAGCGGCCGCCGUGCUCGCUGGCGCGCAUUCGCGGCACGCCAUCUUCCGCGAGGAGCUCGUGAGGAGAGCCUACUACACGGCCGAGGCGGCCCACCGCGGGCACUCGAGCCAGCCCGCGGCUACAGGUUCUAGCAUUGAAUUGGAGAACAGGAGACAACUACUUGAGGAUGUUGAUAAGAGUGGCUACUGAAGCAGCCCCCGCCGACGCCACUAGGCUGCUUGCUGCUCGCACCGUCUCCGCGCGCGCCAUAGCUGCACAGCCCGCCGUCCUGCUCGGGACGCUGAGAAUAUCCGCGGCAUGCGACGUCUAGACUUUAGACGAUCUGCGGCACUCUGCAUCAAGGAGAUCGGUGAAGCAGUCUGCAUUGACGAGAUCACCCGGUAUUCUAGGUGGUCGGUACGCUGUCCUCCGCUUCAAAGUGUCAACUGAAAUUUGGAUAGUACGUGUAUAUGCACCAGGGCUGGUUUGGUCUUUUCCAGUGCUUAUAAAUGUUAAAGGAAAAUGAAAAUCAAAAGUAGGAGGAAAGUGGCAUGAUAAUCAAGGAGCCAACGAGCUGAGUGGCAAAUGUGCGAAGCCAAUCUUGAAAAUGACAAUUUUAAGAAGCCAUAUAUUGAAAGUGGCAGAUUUCCAAUUUUCUCCUCUGUAAUUGGUGCAGAUUGCGGUUUUGGUAUUUUCUCGGGAAAGCUAGCUACUAUUGUUUGAUAUUUUGUUAGGCCAACAACGAUUUCACAAAAAAGGAAAUUCGAGUAAACUUCCUUCAGUUAAUGAGUCUUAGUUUUGCUCCGUUACAGUUAUGUUUUACUUUUAUGGUUAUAAGUGAACUAGAGGAUUUGAUUUACACUUCAGUUAAUGCAGAUGAGAUGACAAGGUUGACAACAUGAGUUUUUGUCAUUACAGUGAUGUGGUCCUUUGUUAAAGGAUUCAAUGCAUCUCGAUAAAUUCUAAGGUAUACUGUAUUUUUGAUGUUCCUAGAUACCCAAGCAAGGGAGACAAAGAUAAUGGGUCGAGUAAGAAGAAGAAAAGUGAGUUAAACGUGAACAAAAAUCCGUAAUGCUAUCUGACCUGCACAAGGAUCCUAAGGAUACAUAUUUGACAUGUUCGAUAAUAGUGCACCAUUAGAAUAUCUAUGCAUUCGAGUUCGAUUCUCAGGCCUUGCAUUCUCCCGUUGCAACGAACGGGCUCUUUUGCUAGUAUAUUAAAAAAAUAUUACUGUUCAUCAAUAAUUGAACGUAUCUACAGUUAUCGGAUUGCAGGAUCAAGCUUGCAACAAUGUCUGUGGAGCCGUUGGAUUUUUGGAUUAACUGGGCAAGCCAGAUUGGGGUUCUGUUGAGCCUAGCCUUCCAGGUCAUCCUCCAUCUCUUUCCCAACGUACGUCGGCGUAGUAGCUCAGCUAUGCUGAGAGGGUGCUUGGAUACGUUUUAGUCCCAUGACUAAAAGUAGUGAGACUAAAACUUGCUAGCCUCACCCAUGCUUGGAUCCAAGUACUAGAGAGACUAAAAUCAAGUUAAUGAGCAUUUAUUAUCCUCCAAACCCUCCAAUCCAGAACUUGCAUGAGGAGUUAAAUGAGGAGAGAGAGGACUAAUGCACAUUUUAGUAGGGGUACCCUUGACUAAAAGAUUUUAGCCUCAAGACUAGUUUUAGCCUCUCUUUAGUCAGGGGUGCUUGGAACUUUAGCCUCUUAAAGAGACUAGUUUUAGUCAGACUAGUUUUAGUCUCUUGGAUCCAAGCACCCUCUGAGGGUUCCCCUCUGGCUGGCGUACCAGCUGUCGGACAUGACCGCAAUAUACGCUGCCGGCCAGCUCCUAUACAACAGCAACACACCGCAAGACCACCAGCUGAUUGCCUUGUGGGCGCCAUUCCUCAUGCUGCACCUCGUGUUGGGAUAAACCCACCGGCGACCCAAACGCCGGACAAAGGUAGACGAAGGAGACACCGUGAUUUUUCCGGUGACGAACGCCGCGGCGCACCAACGCCUGUAUCCUGGCUUUAUUUCUCACAACGACUCGACAUACAUGAGGUACACACGCACGCACACGGCACAAUCCGGAAGAACUCUCACGUCGACCGGACACACAUCACAGUCCUGACGGAGACUACAUCUUCUAGGCCCCUCACACUUGGCUCGGCACACCCCGUCGCUCGGCAACACACCGGAGCACGGCCACACACACCUGCACCCUUCACAACCAAUGUACAGGGGCUUUUAUACCCGGGCUAGUACAGACGCACACCACUAACCCGGCCACUACUAGCACUACCGGCUCACCACGCACACACGACCUGGCUCCAUGUAGCUAACAACCAGCUAACUACAUGCACGUCCGUAUCCAACUGCUGCAUGCACGCACUAACUGCUCGCUACAUCCAAGCAAUGCACGAGCAGCCCGCGACUCAUGCCAACGGCCAAACAAACUACGUGCAUGCAGCUGACUAACCUCUAUGCUAACCAACUGAUUCAAGACCAAAUCAAAGUCAUGAUUAUCCUAACACCUCGGUGGUCCGGACAACAUCACUGCGUAUGCACUUGAGGAUAGCAAGCUCUGGAAGCGUCACUUGCUGAUCCUUGUGGUGCAAGUUGCGGGAGCCGGAUAUGUCCUCUACAAGUACAUCGCCGGCAGUGGGAUCUUCAUCACACUGGCUGCCAUCUUGAUACUCGUUGUUGGUGUUGCAAAGUAUGGGGAGAGGACAUGGGCACUCCGGGCAGCCAACUUCAGCAUUCUUCAGAGCUCUCUCAAGGCGACCAAACAAAAAAAGAAAACAAACAAGGUACCAAGGCGCGACCAACACUUUUAUCAAGAAUGGUAUAGUGACUUGGCGGACGAGCGCAUUCUGCAGCGUGCUCACUCCCUUUUUCAUAUCUGCAAGCGCGGGCUAGUUGAUUCAGUGAUCGAGAUAGAUGACCCCAAUAGCUCGAGUAAGGUAACAAUAGAGGAACUCAAGAACAACCAUGAGAAAAUGUGGAGGGUGAUGGAGAUGGAACUCUCCCUCAUGUAUGAUAUCCUCUACACCAAGGCAAACGUGAUCCACUCUUGGGUUGGCUACUGCAUACGUAUCAUAUCUCCUUUUGCUGUCAUCGCCUCACUCGUGUUGUUCGAGUUGAGCGACAAAGAUGGCUACAGCCGAGUGGAUAUUGCAAUCACACACACCUUGUUGGGUGGUGCCCUGGUUCUAGAGACGAAAUCGCUCCUUGGCGCACUAGGGUCGAGCUGGGCGCUUGGUUUCUUGUGUGCCACGCGAUUAGAUUGGCUCCGUCAUUCAGCUUUGUGCACCGGAAGAUGGUAUCAGCUACGGCGCACAAUUCUUUCUCUUCGCCGGUCCUGGCCUGGCAAGAUAAUCAUGACGGGAAGCUCAAGGAGGUGGUCAGGCACCAUAGGUCAGCACAACAUGCUGCGUUUUCGUGCUGGACAGGUGGAUCCCAUGAGUCGCCGGCUCGGCAGUCUGUUCAAGAUGAUGGGACUUGAUGAGUGGUGUAACACGAGAAAGUUGUGGACCAUCGAUGUCUCUGAGAAGGUCAAGGAGCGUGCAAGGAAGUGGAUGGCAAAAACAGGUGACAUGAACACAAUGGGCCUGCGAAGGACUAAAUGGGGUGAGCUGGCACUGAAUCACAAGGAUUACCCUAAGCUGUUGGAGAAGUUGGAGGAUUAUAAUUUAGUUGACUUCCAUGAGAGCGUCAUCUGCUGGCACAUCGCCACCCACAUAAUCCUUGCUAAAGAAGAACAAUGGGGCGACAACGAUGUGGAGAAUGUGGAGGUGGUCAGUGUAGUGUCCAAUUACAUGAUGUUCCUCCUUGUGGACUCCCCUGAAAUGCUACCGGGCCUUCCCCAAAACUGGUUGUACGAGCAAACCUGCAAGCAACUGGACAAUAUUUGCCAAAAAGUUACCGAUUCUCGUAGCAACAAUUUCUUCACCGUGCUCAUUAACUUGUUCCGACCAGACCAUCACCGUGACUGGGAACCUUCUAAACUUGAGAAGGACAUCGCCAGUGCCAUAUUAAAGGAAGGGGGAGCUACUAACUCUGAAAAUCCUCGGCUCACUUAUGCAUGUGUCAUUGCUGACACGCUUCUUGCUAGGGAGGAAAAUGUGGUUACUGCUCUGCUAAACUUGUGGUUGGACUUCUUGACCUACGCAGCCAACCGGUGCAACAGGGAGGCGCACGCGAGGAAACUCAGCACCGGCGGUGAGUUGCUGACCAUCAUCUGGCUUUAUCUGGAACAUCUCCACCAAGUUAAAGAAAGAAGAAGAUAGGGUUAGAACCUUGUAUAAUUCACUCUACUGUGACGAAUAUCCAGAAGUAUUCUUCAUUUUUUAUUUUGUAAGCAUACCUUUCUUCAGUUCAGCACUUCUUGCUUAGUUUCCUGUUGUUUGAUGAAUAUUUGUAAGCAAUAAAUCCAAGUUGUACCUUGGUGUGAUCCGCAGUUGAGAAAAUUAGAACUUCAAUUU